UCUUAUCUCUGAUCUUUAACUGAAAAAAUAAGAAUAGAAAGAAGAAAAUAGAAAGGGAAGAAACAGGGGAAAGCCCUAAAUCGGGCAGGGGAAGAAGAAGGGGGAAGACGAAAAGGGGAUGAGCAAGGGGGCAGCGGCGACAGCCCUCCCGUCUGCCACCACCGGUGACGACUGCCCGGCGGCCCUCUCUCGUCAACAGCUCGCUCAUCGUCUCCAUCGAGUCCGAGUCGCACUUCAUGUCUCUGCUAUGCCUCACAACUUCGGCAGAUCCGAGCUAGCUCACAGGAAUUUCGGUGAUCGGUCCUUAGCUCACUGUACCCAUUGCUCGAUCGCGCGGCGGCGGAGGGCGACCGAGAAGGGGAAGAGGGGGAAGAAGGGAAACAGGGCAAGAGCUUACUGAGCGAAGGAGGAGUUUUUACAGGCUAAUUUUGCCAGUGCGGUUGCAUCCUUGAGGGCCACGAAGGUGGUAGUGUUCCUUCCGAAUCCAGAGAGGCACUGGGGACCGAAGUUACGGGCGGGCCGUCAGAUCACAAGCAAGCACCUCUCUCACCUGGGCGCUGAAGCAGUGAAUGGUUCCCUCAGACACCAUGACAGUGAGGAGCCCGAGGAUAAGCUACAAAAGACAGAGCACAACACCUUAGAUUCGUGAUCCGCACUUUGUUCUGUUGUUAAUGCUCCUCCGGGAAGAAGACGAGGAUGAAGCCCGUGCCCCAGAUCUCGCUGCUGCUGCUGCUGCUCCGCUUCCUGAAGCCGAUGCCGACCCCGAGCCGCCCUUGGUCGAGAUGUCCAUUGCUUUGCUGCUCCCCUGCGCAUGAACUUGUGAACGCGAGCACGUGGGCGUGGGACACGCUACGUCACCAAAAACUAACGGUGUCAAGGAGGAUAGACGGAAUGCAUUUGAUUGCAGUAGUUUGAAUUUUUUAUUAAAAUAUUGAAAAUAAAUAUUUUGUACCAAAGUAUUACCUCUUAAAAACUUUUUGUACCAAAUAUGUAAUUUACCCUUGAAUUAAUGGGAUUUUUUUUUGGUUUA